CAUUUCUUUUCGUCGUUCAUUCAUUUUGGAGCAUUCGCUGUGCGUGGUUUAAAAAACGAGUGUGUUAAAUUUAAUUAACUAAAAAAAAGAUAAUUUUGUGAAAUCAAGUCCAAACAACAAAAUACAAUGGCUAAUAAUCAAGAUUUGGAUAUGAAUGGUGAAGAUUUUUCACAAGACGUGCGAGAUGAUCAAAUGAAUGGUGAAAAUGGUGAUGGACAUAAUGUUGAAAAUGGAAAUCAUGGAGAAGGACCCGGACGAGAUGAUGACAGGUGAAAGCAAACAUGUGUCAUUGAACCCUUCUGUGAGAGGAUGCUGGCUGCUAAGCUUUGGGCCAAUGGCUGUCUGUAAACAACCGAGACAAGACGAUGGAAAUUAUUCGUUGGUGGACUGAGCUGGGAAACAACAGAAAAGGAACUCCGUGAACAUUUCGGUCAAUAUGGUGAUAUUGAAAGUAUCAAUGUGAAAACCGAUCCUCAAACCGGCCGAUCACGUGGAUUUGCGUUCAUCGUUUAUGCCGCCGCCGAUUCAAUCGAUCGUGUCAGCGCAGCUGAAGAGCAUGUGAUCAACAACAAAAAAGUCGAUCCGAAAAAAGCGAAAGCUCGUCAUGGCAAAAUCUUCGUUGGUGGAUUGACUACAGACAUUAGUGACGAUGAGAUCAAAACGUUCUUCGGACAAUUCGGCAAUAUCGUUGAGGUUGAAUUGCCAUUCGACAAGCAAAAGAACCAACGCAAAGGAUUCUGUUUUAUUACAUUCGAUUCGGAACAAGUGGUGAACGAAUUGUUGAAGACUCCGAAACAGACUAUUUCCGGCAAAGAGGUAGAUGUUAAGAAAGCAACACCGAAGCCCGACAACAUGCCAAUGAGUAUGGUGCGCGGAGGACCCCGCGGACGUGGUGGACGAGGCGGCAGUGGUCGAGGCGGAUACAAUCAGAACUGGGGUAGCCAAGGAGGCUAUGGUUACGGACAAGGGUAUGCCGGUUACGGUGGUUAUGAUAGUUAUGGAAAUGGUGGUUAUGAUUACUAUGGAGGUUACGGAUACGGAAAUUAUGACUACGCCAAUUAUGGAAACUAUGGUGGCAACUACGCACAGGGCGGUAAAUCACGUGGUGGUGGACGACAACCAAGACAUCAACCGUAUUAAAUCUCAACAAACUCAGCACUACAGUUCAUAAGAAAAAGUCAAUUUUUUUUCUUUACUAAAAAUAGUUUGUGUGUGAAUCGUACAUCGACUUUCAUAAUUUAAACAAAAGAUAAUUCAAUAUACGUUCAAUCAUUGUCAGAAACAGAGUAACAAUAACAAUUGUUUCUCACCCACCCGCGUCAACCACAAAAUCAUUCCAUGUGUCUACUGUAAAAACUCAUUGCAAAAACCACCAGCAACAUUAACCACACAACAUAAAAUGUAAUCGGAAUAUACAACCAAAAAAAAAAUUGUAACAAAAAAUUGAAAGGAAAAACAAUCAACAAAACCUAAUAUUCAACCAACACAAAAUACAGUAAACUGGAAACGAUUUUUUUUUUUUUUUGAACGAAAGAAAAUACGUCUUACAAGUUCGACAUCAUCACUACUUUCUAUGAAAGUAGAAAUUAUUAAACAAAAAAAUAAAGAAGAGAAACCAAUAAAAAAAACAAGAUUCGUCCCUCCAUCAUGAUCAACGUGUACCAUCUAUUAAUUAAUAAUGUAUUUUUAAAGGAAAUUAUACAUAAGAAUGCAAGAAAAAAUAAAAGAAAACAUUAACAUCAAAAUCCAACAUAAAAAACAAGUUUCAAUUUUUUUCCAAUAAAUUUUUGAACAAAACUUUCCAUUGAGUUUAUUUUCUGUUCGUGGGACUUGAAAAUUUGAUUUUUUUUUUAAGCAAAAACAAAUGAUUGCAACAAAAGUAGAUACACACACCGUUACACGUCAUAAAAGGAACUUAUAUAAAAAACGAAAAAUAAUUAAAAUUCUUCAUCGUGCGCCCCCGCCCUUCCUCCCCCUCAAACAAAAAACCAAAACUAAAAAAGUGGUGGAUGUGGUGGUAAAAAAAAAUAUUUAGAAAGCGAAAAUACAAAAUAAAAACUGGGAAAUAAUAAGCGAAAAGAGUAAAGUAUUGAAUUUGUUGAUGUGAAAGAGAACGAAGUUUGAAUGCGAAUGAUGUUUGUACAAAGAAUAAAAAUAAUUUAAAAAUAAGAAAA